UGGGGAAUAUUGGACAAUGGGCGCAAGCCUGAUCCAGCCAUGCCGCGUGAGUGAUGAAGGCCUUAGGGUUGUAAAGCUCUUUUGUCCGGGACGAUAAUGACGGUACCGGAAGAAUAAGCCCCGGCUAACUUCGUGCCAGCAGCCGCGGUAAUACGAAGGGGGCUAGCGUUGCUCGGAAUCACUGGGCGUAAAGGGCGCGUAGGCGGACAUUUAAGUCAGGGGUGAAAUCCCGGGGCUCAACCUCGGAAUUGCCUUUGAUACUGGGUGUCUCGAGACCGGAAGAGGUAAGUGGAACUGCGAGUGUAGAGGUGAAAUUCGUAGAUAUUCGCAAGAACACCAGUGGCGAAGGCGGCUUACUGGUCCGGUUCUGACGCUGAGGCGCGAAAGCGUGGGGAGCAAACA
rnacentral:rRNA from 2 species